UAUGGGGGUACUGAAGAGUCCCUCUGGUGGCCAUAUUUUGUCUUAAUUGAACGAACCACCCCCUCUAUGACUCUGCUAUUAUAAUCGACCGCUGUAGUGUUGGUGUGGAAGGGAGUUAUAAGGUUUUUUUUUUUUUUUUUCGUGUUAGCCUCAGGUUGUUGUGAAGGUAUCGAACAAGUAACCUUUGGAUCUCAUGCUGUUUGGUCACUUACCUUGUAGCUGCCAAACCGAGUCUCAUUGUUAUUAGAAAUGGAAGAUUCUCGUAGAACAAUACUGGAACUGAUAAGUCAUGGGUUCCGUGUGGAAGAAAUUGCAGCUAUGUACAAUACUCCAGUUAGAACUUUCUACCGUCGAAUGAAAGACAUGGAUAUUUCCGUUAGAGGAAAGUAUAGCAACAUCACAUUGGACUCCCUUGAGCAGAAAAUUACAGACAUCUCUGCUGAGAAUAAUCGUGUUGGGGAGAAAAUCAUUAGGGCUAGACUACAAGGACAAGGUGACACUGUUCAACGCUCAAGAAACAGACAGGCAAUUCAAAACACUGUUGGCCCUCGUCCAAGGCCACCAAGAUUGACCAGGAGAGAAUAUAGCUCUCGUGCUGCAUUAUCUGUCUGGCAUGGUGAUGGGCUACAUACAUUCAUUGACUAUGGUAUCAUUAUCUUUGGGUGGGUGGAUGGACAUUCCCACGCAGUAAUGAAUAUGGAAGCAAAAAAUUACAAUAGAGCAAGCACAGCGCUCUAGGUGUUCUUGACUGCAGUCAGUUACUAUGGCUGUCCUUCUAGAGUCAGAACCGACCACGGAGGAGAGAAUAUAGAAGUGGGGCGAUUCAUGAUCGAAGUUAGAGGACCAAAUAGAGGGAGUUUUUUGACGGGGAAAUCUUGAUUUUGCUGAUCAAUGAGAUUGUUUCUUUGUUGCAAAU